AUGGUGAUCAAGACCCAGAAUGGACAAGUUCUGAAAAAAGACAAGGAGGUCAUUGCUAGCCUACUUGAUACAACCGUAAGAACUGUUGAGAGAAUAUGGGAAAGAGCUCUUAAACAGAUUGAAAAAGGGGAGAAAGUUGAUGUCUCAAAUCAAAAGCCAGGUAGAGUUGGCCGCAAGCGGAAAGUUUUGGAUCUGUCGAGGGUGGUGACAAUCCCAUUGAACAGAAGGAGAACAUUGCAAGGUCUGUCAAAGGCAUUGGGUGUAAGCUGCACGACCUUACACUCAAGGUUCGAGUGGGGUCAUUUGAGGCGUCACAGUAAUAAGUUGAGGCCCCACUUAAACCUAUCCAACAUUGUAAAGAGAUUGAAAUGGUGCUUGGCUAUGUGUGAAGAUUAUUGGUCUGCGACACGGGAAUUAGACAACAUGGCCUACAUGGAUGAAAAGUGGUUCAACAUGGCUAGGGAGGUGAACAACUACUAUUUGCUUCCCGAAGAACCCAACCGCGCACCUUGCAUCAUAAGGAUAGCAUCGCCAAGGUGA
rnacentral:rRNA from 1 species